UUCAAUCUAUGGUACUACUGAGGUUUAUAGGUAAACAAUAGCCGAGCACAAUAGCUAGCUGAGCUGAGUUGUACACCUUGUUUCAAGUGGAUCAAUCCUCAAAGCAAUACUCACCGCCAUGCAAGUGUUUGUGAGAAGUACCUUUAAUAUCUCCGACCAUAAGCUGGGCAUUGAGACAAUCAGCUUGAAUAUGAAGCCAACACAAACUAUCAUGGAACUAAAGAGAAUGGUCCACAAAGCUGGUGCCCUCUCGUCACCCAUGGAGCAGAAGCUCACCUUGGCUGGGGAAGAAUUAUCGAAUGCCAGAACCAUCGAAAGUUAUAAUGUGAGGGAAAAUACUCUAAUCAUUGAUCAAGUCUCAUGGAUUUUGGUUAAAAUGGGCAAUACAAAAACAAUUGUGAAUGUUAGUUUUGUCAUGACUGAUUCCUUAGAAAGAGUAGCUGAAAAAAUUCGAGCCGAGUUUAAUGUACCCAAGCAAGCAUCGGUUAUGUUUUCAACUAGUAGGAGUCCUGGCGCUAGGAUCAUUCACACUUCUCUCGUUGAUUUGCUAUUUAAAAGGCAUAUUUCAGUGCUGGUUAAGCAGAUGAAUCAUAAAGUGGUUUGUUGCCUAGAAUCUGCUGAUCAGAUCUGUGUAUAUGUUAAACAUUAACAGGCAAGUGUCACACAAUCAAAAUCUCCCCUGCUCAUUGCAUUUUAUAUCUCAAAUAUCAAAUAGCAAAAGCUUUUGGCCCUGAAUUAGAUAACAUUCGUUUGAUAUUUGCUGGAAAACAGCUGGAAGAUGAGCAAACAUUAAAGGAUUACCACAUUGGGAGUGAUAGUACAAUACACCUUGUCUCGCGUAUAAGGGGUGGUGGUGGAGGUGCACGCAAUUUGGAGCUUUACAUUGUUACAGAAGCACCCAGUCUCACUAAUCCUCUCGUGUUAAGUGUAGGCAGUGAAAACAGUGUCUUAAGUAUAAAAAAUAAAAUUUAUAGGAAAAUUUCGUAUAGGCCGGAAGAUCAAGUGCUCCGUUUUAAUGAUAUGAUCUUAGAGGAUGAUAAGAAGAUCUGUGAUUUGUCAAUUCAAAAUUAUCAUGUAAUUCAUCUUUCUUUACAACCCCAAACGGGUAUGAUUAAGUUUUACGCAUACCUGCCUAAUGGAAAAUGUAUUACAUUGUUCCUACACCGGAAUGAAAAUGUUCAUCGCUGCAUCAAGAUUAUUCAAAAAGAUAUGCUUAGUUGAAAAUUUUUUAUUUCGUUUGGUACAACCAUCUUGAAGAAAGGAAGGCUGAGCGAUUACAAUAUCCAAGGCGGAGUAAUGAUACAUGUUGUUCCUAGAGAUGGGGCAGUGCAUAUUGAAUUGAUGCUACAUGGCAAGACGAUAAGGCACACAUCGAUGUCUGUUGAUUUGAGUGAUACUGUAUUUUCCUUAAAAAUGAGAAUAUUAAUAAUUAUUUGUGAAAGUCUUCCGACUGCAAAACUACGAUUGUUCCUUGGUGAUCGGCAACUUGAAGACCGUAAGGUGUUGAGUGACUAUCAAGUAUGUAAGAUGAUCACGGUUCAUGUUCGAACCAUGGCUGAUGAGGCAGAAUCAAUUCAACGGCCUUCACUUAGAUUGUGCUCCACUGACUCUCCUAUGUGUACAGGUUCACUCGAAACGAAGGGAGCUUGUGGCACUAGUACUGAGCCUUGUGUUACCAAAAAUGAUAUCAUUAAGCAAAAGGGAGCUUGUGGUAUUGGACCCUGUGCUACUAAAACUGAUGUGCCAAGAGAUGCUCACCGGACAAAAUGGAAUAGUGCAACUGCAUAUGAGGCAGAAACGAGACAGCUAACUAUUGAAACCUUGAUGAUCAAGACCAAUGUGAGACUGACUGAUGCUCAAUUGGACAGUGAAAUUGAAAGUAGAGAUCUUUAUCCUGUGGCUGGCUACUUUGAUGACGUGGAAAUUACAUUCGUAAUCUGGAGCUGAAUAAAUCAGAGAUGGCUGAUGUAAGAAGACGUACUCGUGAACUGGGAAACCAGCUUGGAAUAGUGUAUGCCCUCGAGCUAUGGAAGAACAGUACUGUGUCCCCAACGUACAAGUCACUUAUCAAUAUACUCUUGCACCUUAAUCAUGUCGAGGUAGCUAGAAGCAUUUGUUUGUUUUUAACAAACGUGCUUGCUUCUAAAAAAUGUUUACCAGAGUAAUAAUAAUUUGUACAAUCUCUACUCACUUUAUAAAAUUAUCAUUC